AUCUACAGCCAUGCUACCCUGAACAAGCCCGAUCCUGUCUGAUCUCAGAAGCUAAGCAGGGGCGGGCCUGGUUUGUACUUGGAUGGGAGACUAUGUAGGAAGACCAGGUGUUGUAGGUG
rnacentral:rRNA from 1 species